CAAAUAACAAAUUGCAAAGUUUCAAAAAUCAAAAAAGUGGUGUUCAUUUGUGAAGAAUAUCUUGCUGAAUUAAGCAUAAAUGGGGAAAUGUUGCAACCUUGCUGAACCAUUAUUUUGAGGACGAAGGGAAGUGAAACUUCUAGACAUAUUGUAAAACAAAGGAUGAACUAGGGA